GCGGACGUGGCGGAAAUGGUAGACGCGCAAGAUUUAGGUUCUUGUGUCCAAAAGUCGUGGGGGUUCGAGUCCCCCCGUCCGCACCA
rnacentral:tRNA from 1 species